rnacentral:lncRNA from 1 species
GGAGGAGCGGCCUGGCUUUGUCUGAGUCAGGCAGCCCAGCGUGUGGGAUGCCAGGCUGGAUGUGCUGGGCCUGACCAGCCGCCCGCUUUCCUCUUCUCUUGCCUCUGCCUGCCCCCUGGUGGACAGCUGGGGUAAAGCAUGGGAGUGCGCCUUUGGGGUCUCAGUGGGGCUGAAAUACGACUCCUCCCCUAGGACAGCCUGCCUUCCCCAGCCUUGUUCUCCGGCAAAGUCAAUUUCCUGGAGAAUCGAGGCUCUGCCUCAGAUGUUCGGAGCCUCCGCAGGAUGAACACCUCCAUUUCAAUUCCAGGGGCUUUGAUCAACCUGUGCCUCCCUUGAUCCCCAACUUGUGGGCACCUUCCCUUGAGCAGUGCCCCCACGAGGUACACCUUUCCCGGGAAACAAAAAUCAUUCCUUCUUUGGGUCCUGCAAGCUGUAAAGAACCAAUACAGCACUGUGCUACUGAACAUGUUGCCACUAUAGAAGCCCCUUGUGUUUUGAAGAGUACAUCUCUAUAGCCAUUCGUUUAUUCAUCAGAAACCAGCUAGAAGCCAGGCCCUGUGCUGGGCGCUGGAGACAUGGAAGAAACUGGGCUGAGGCUCCCGCCUUGAAGAGCUUGUGGCCCAGGGAAGGGACAGUUCAUCUGUCAUUGAUUGCCACGUGACAGUGUCUAUGAUGCUAAAAAGAUGCCAGUGCUGUGCUGCAGGAGCAAAGGCCGUGGAGGAAGAGGCUUUGGCUUUGUUGCGAGUCCUUGCCAGAGCCAGGCAAAGCCAGUCACCGCUUUGUUCAGAUGACUCAGUGUCUCCUUUUCCAGACUUCUUAGAGGACUUGGAAAGAAAAUGAAAUGACGUUGAACGAAAUCAAAGUAAAUUGAGUGAUCUGAAACGAUUUGAUGUCAGCAAGAAUUCCCCAUACAGCUCACAGCCCUACCCCGAGCACGCCUCCCUCUUGGGUAUGCUCUCUGCAGGCCCAAACCUUGCAGAAGCCAUUCCAUGUUUCCUGAGCAGGAAAAGACAAACUCAGACCGACAACCUUGGACUUCAAAAGACUGCACACAAGGGGAGGAAGGACUGAGAGUACCAAGGCGUGAGAAUUCAGAAUGCUGCUAUCUCAUUUAUUUUUACCAUUUAGGAAACGUUUUGAUCUGCAUUCCUUUUCCCUUCCCUGAUUUCAAAAAAUAAAAAUAAAAAUGCUUCGGUUCU